rnacentral:lncRNA from 1 species
GAUAAAAUUAAUUAAAUAUCCAAAUAAAACAGUCGCAAAAAUUACAUAGAUUUUUACAUACCUCUUUUUGAUGCGGAAUUAAUGUGGUGAUUACCAGGAUCUGAUCUCGUCUUGUUUUACGAACUCGUUAAUCCGCCAACAAUCUGUCUUUUUUUGUUGCACGUAGUUCUUUCUCGUUGCAAUCCGGCUACUAGAGUCGAUCACCGCACACCGCGCAAAUCCCUAAGGUUUAUGAUGGUGCCUUAGAGCGAACCCAAGAGAGAGAAUUUUGUGGAGGGAUGAUUCUAAUUUUUUAUUCUUUUCGUUUUCUUUCAUGUGUCCUAUGUGGUCAAUACCUCAUAUAUUUAUAGGCCAUAAGGGAGACAUUAAUCCUAAUCAUAUUCUAACUAAAUCUCACAUAGAUAGAGAUUUAAACAGACUAGGGUUUAUCUGUUAGAUUUAUUCCUUAUCCCAUGUGGACUAGGAAUAUAACAGAUAAUUAUAAAUAUUUAUUUCUUAUACCAUAUGGAUUAGAAAUAUUUUAGAUAAGUCUCAAUGUGAACGAAUCCUAACAUCUCCCACUCGUACACACUUGGUACUUAUUCAUACCUUCUCAUCCCAAAUAUAUUCUCCUCUCGUUCUGCUCUUCAUACGGAAAAUGGUUGGUGCGAUCAAUAACGAAAAGAAUCAUAAGUGAGGAGUGUUAUAUUAAGCCACCAUCCGAACUAACAUAACACUACAACUCCAAAUCUCGUCUAUACCCCAAAUCACCGAACUACACCAGAUCAUAGCAUCUAUGAUCCCAUAGAGCAAGCUAGAUCUCUGUCAUUAAU